rnacentral:rRNA from 1 species
AUGAAGAAGAAUGCCUCUCCUGGACCUGAUGGAUUCAAUGUGGGUUUCUACCUUUCGGCUUGGAGUUGGAUAGGAGAUGAUGUGACCAAUUUGGAUGCCUUGCAAGCUAAUCACCUGACAGGUAUUUCGCUUGGACCAAAUUGCCCUCCUAUUCACUCUUUGAUGUUUGCAGAUGACCUGAUUGUUUGUGGCAAUGCUAAUGUGCAGGAAGCUAAUACUAUUUUACAGCUUUUAGACCAUUUUUGUUGUGAUUCAGGGCAAACUCCAAACUGGAGUAAAUCUGGUAUCUUAUUCAGCAAUAAUGUUACGAUGCAGGUUAAACAAGAUAUUAAGAGAAUCUUUCCAGCUCCAGACAUCGACAGUUCUUUCGUCCAUUUAGGCCAUCCACUUGUUUUACCUUCUAAAGAUAGAUCAGCUGCUUAUAACUUUGUUUACGAUAAAUUCAAGUCCAAACUUAGCACAUAUAAAGCCAACAGACUCUCUCAUGCGGCAAGAUUAACUCUCAUAAAAUCCGUUUUCCAUUCCAUUCCUGUAUAUUACAUGUCCAACAUACUUUUUUCAAAAACAUUCCUUGCUAAACUAACAACAAUCAUUAGGAAAUUUUGGUGGACAGGUAUUCAAGAUGAUCAAACUACUAGAAGCUUGUGCCUUAGGGCAUGGGCUGAUGUAUGUAUUGAGAAGAAAAUUGGUGGUCUUGGUGUUAGAAAUUUGCAGGCAAUCAACAGAGGACUUGUUCUCUCGACGGCAUGGAGAUUGGCAAAAGAGCCGCAAAGUCAGCUAGCAUUGAUUCUCAAGGCAAAGUAUCAUCAUGAUACAUCCAUUUGGAGAGCCCGGCCGAACAAACCUAAAUCUGCCUUUUGGUCUGCAAUUCUAAAGGUAAAGCCUCUUCUAAUCUCAGCCACAAUUUGCCAAAUUGUUGAUGGUGCUAGUUCUAUUUGGAGCUCGCCUUGGUUUUCCGGAUGGGAAACUAUUUAUGAUCAUCUUAUCAUUCAGCAACAAUAUUUUUCUUACCCUGCACAAGUUAAAGAUCUUUGGAUACCGGGUCAAAAGAACUGGAAUGCAAACUUGAUUAAUUCUCUUUUCACUCCUGAAUUGGCUAAUACCAUUCUACAAACUCCUAUUAUUAAGGCAAAUGGUAAGGAUAUGUUAGUUUGGAAACUAACUCCUGCAGGUGAAUUCUCUUCCAAAAGUGCCUACAAGCACUGCUUCAACAAUCUUCAGCUUCCACCAAGGCAAAGGCCCAAAAUUGUCCCUAUGCAGGUCAUUUCCCUUCUUAAUCAGGUGUGGGAGGAUAAGCAAAUGGCACCAAGAGUUCAGAUAUUUGCUUGGAGGCUUCUUAGGAAAGCACUUCCUACAGGUAAGAGGGCAGGUAGGUACUCCAAACAUAUCAAUGAAAACUGCUCUAGAUGUGGACUAUUAGAAGAUGAAAUGCAUAUGUUGUUUCUCUGCCCUUUUUUAAAGCUGCAUGGUUUUGCUAUCCCUGGUUUAUUAAAACGGAAUCUCUGGCUGAAAAUUAUCAUUCUAUUCCUGAUAUGA